GAUUAUGGCUCAGGACAAACGCUGGCGGCGUGCCUAACACAUGCAAGUCGAACGGACCCUUCGGGGUUAGUGGCAGACGGGUGAGUAACACGUAGGUAAUGUACCUUCUUGCUGGGGAUACCUACCCGAAAGGGUGGUUAAUACCGAAUGGUCUCAUGCUGCGGCAUCGCGGUAUGAGUAAAGUGUUCAGCGCGAGAGGAUCAGCCUGCGGGCCAUCAGCUAGUUGGUGGGGUAACGGCCUACCAAGGCAUCGACGGUUAGCCGGUCUGAGAGGAUGAUCGGCCACACUGGAACUGAGACACGGUCCAGACUCCUACGGGAGGCAGCAGUGAGGAAUAUUGCGCAAUGGGCGGAAGCCCUGACGUAGCGACGCCGCGUGAGGGAUGAAGGUUUUCGGAUCGUAAACCUCCGUUAAGCAGGGAAGAGAACGGACGGUACCUGCUGAGGAAGCAUCGGCUUACUACGUGCCAGCCGCCGC
rnacentral:rRNA from 1 species